AUGCAGAGCUCAAAACGUGUUGAAAGCUGCAACCAACAAAGUCUGAAAUUGGCUGACCAUGGAACAUCUAACCCGAAAACAUGCAUAUCCCUUUCAGAGGGCAAAAGUAAGUACAGGGUCUUAUAUUGUCUGGACUGCUCACUAAAUCAAUUUUAACUUUGAUUAGUAGAAUGGGAUAUCAUAGCAAAGAAUCACGGUAACAUACAGCAUGUAAAUGUUAGUGUUUAAUUAGCAAUGAAAUUACUAUUUCAAAAGCUUCUAAAGGUGGAAAUAUUGUCAUUUUAACGGACAAUAUACUGAUUUUCCACUAAUAUAUUUUGGUAUUUGUACUUCCUUUAUUAUUUUAAGAAAACUGGUAUGUUAUGUUGUGUGAUUACUUUUAAAAAUUCAAAC
rnacentral:lncRNA from 1 species